GGCCUCCCCGUUCACCUCCCAGAGGCUGCCACUUUCUUCAGGGCUAGCAGAUGAAGGCAGCAAGGAAAACACCACCACAAGACCGACUUUAGGCUGGAGCUGAUGAUGCCACACGGCAAAUCAGCAAGAAAAAAGAAAAUAGACUCAGAAAUGAAACUCAACUAAAGGUAAAAGAUGUCUGGAACAUCUCCAAGAAAGCCAGAGUCAGCCUCUAAACUUUGCAUCAAGAAUGGCAAUGGCUUCCCUGAGGGCCCAGGGACGCUUGGCAGCUGUGAGGGAUCCCCUUCUCUGCUAUCAAGGAACUGGACACUUCUCCUGUCCCUUCCCACAAGGUAUAAUAUUAGGCAGAAACCCAAUUUAAAAAGAAAAGCAGAGCUGUUGUAGAUUCAGCGAGGGUUGGCGACCUGGUUCCAAUGAGCCAUCUCCCUGUUCCGACAGGGGCUUCCUGGAGCUCCUGCAACCCCAGGCAUUAGUUCCAGUGCAGUUCUAGGAUCAGAUCAAUUCACUCGACAACAAGAGAAACAAAUGGAGAUUCCUACACAAAGACUUUCAAGCACAAAGAAAUCCUGCUGCCUAUAAAGCAGAGCUGCCUCAGCUCUUGAUGAACGACAGAAAAUACCACCUACUGCCAGACCUCUUCGCCUCACAAAACUCUCACCCACCUACUGCUUUUAGCUCAAAUUCCAGGAAUUCAGAUGAAGUGAAGUGCUCUCAUGGGGACCAGGCGUGGGUAUGCCAGUCCACUGCCCUGCAAGUCUCAAGGGAAACCAACUGCCCAUCAGCAAGUCACACCUGCCUUGGUGGAGG
rnacentral:lncRNA from 1 species